UACGGAGGGUGCAAGCGUUGUCCGGAAUCACUGGGCGUAAAGGGCGCGUAGGCGGCCCGGUAAGUAGGGGGUGAAAUCCUGCGGCUUAACCGCAGGGCUGCCUUCUAAACUGUCGGGCUCGAGCACGGUAGAGGCAGAUGGAAUUCCCGGUGUAGCGGUGGAAUGCGUAGAGAUCGGGAAGAACAUCAGUGGCGAAGGCGGUCUGCUGGGCCGUUGCUGACGCUGAGGCGCGACAGCGUGGGGAGCAAACGGG
rnacentral:rRNA from 1 species